CAGUGAAACUCCUGGAAGUCACCGUGGGGUGGGGGUGAAAGUAGGGGACCGUGAGAAACUCAAGAAGAUGCCUUCGUGGGAUGCUGGCUAGGAGACCAUGUGUGGUACCUGAGGAAACUGCAGGAAAGCUGCCAAGAGAUGCUGCUUCCAUGGGGUGCUUUGCCUGCCAGUCUGGCACCACAGGAGCCGGCAGGAAGAGGAGCACAGCAGAAAGAUUCUUCUGCCUGCAGCACCAGAACUAAGAGAAUGCCUGCCUGGUUCCGGAUGGAGCAGCACAAUGUAUGGCCAUUGCCGUAAAUGCACUGCUGCCAUACUAGAGCCCUAUCAGAAGCGGACCUAAAGGUCUGCUCUGACGUCCAAGCACGGGACACCCAGGGUGACCCAGUCAGCAUUCACACGGGCAAAGUCCAUAAGCAUAAAAG